rnacentral:tRNA from 1 species
GGGGCUGUAGCUCAGUGGCAGAGCGGCUUGCCUAGCAUAUAUAAGACCCUGGUACAUGCCUAGCAUGUAUAAGACCCUGGGUUUGAUCCUCAGCACCACUA